rnacentral:lncRNA from 1 species
CGUCCACGUAUUUAACUUUACAAAAACAUAUUUUAAAGAUGAUGUUUCUCAUAGUUAAUGUCAUUAAGAUGAAGGUGAUGGAAAAUCUCUGGGCCCUGUAAUCCAGGAUUGCUUCCUCUCUUACUCUGUGCAAUUUUUCUCAACUUUAUACAUCUUUUCCAUAUAUCCAUAGAUGUUAUAGACAACAUGUACUCGUGCCUAGAUGGAGGAUGAAGGAUCUGAAUAAUGUUACAAUCACCACCUAACUGAUCUUUGGAUCUUUCUAGGGCCUAUUUGUUUCCUGUAAAAAAUACACUCACAUUUGGUGAACAGAGCUCUGAAACAGAAGGAACAGAACCUGGAAUCCUUCUGGUGACACCUGGAGCUACAAGAACACCUGUGAUGUAGUUCUAACGAUCCUCUGGACUCCAAUUUCAAUGCCUUCUCCCCUUCCCCAGAAACUUCUGUGCCUCUGCUACCAAGUGGACAACAGGAAGAACAGAAUGUAUUUUGUAGAAAUCCCAGGGAAUGGAAAUAAUCCCAAAUCCACUGUCGACAGUCCCCAAAGCUAAUUGCUGUGAGGGCAAUGAAAUAUUGAAUGGCUGAUAGAAAAAUUUAGCCUGUGGAUCUUUUGGACAGUCAAGAUUUCUUAUAAAAAUUGAAGAACCAUUGUCUACUGAAAUGGCAUUUUCUUACUCUGGCUGUGGAGAUAUGGUUCAUCUUUAAUAGGUAAGAUUCAUGUAUACUUUCAUCUGCCUGGGAUGUUUUUAGUAUGGCCUAAAAUAACUUCUUAAACAACCAUUUGAUAUUGUGAUAUUCAGCAACUCUGAAAAUACCAUUUUUUUUAAACUCUCUGGGAUCUCAAGUUAUAAUUCUAUGUCAAAGAUUUGAAUAGAGAGAUGAGGUUAAGUUUCACAUUAGAUAUAUUAUCAAGGAAUUUUUCUAUCUACUUGAACCACACACAAUACUUGACUGUAUCUUAAUUUUUUAUUAUGUUGCAUUUUCUUAUAGAAUUUUCCUAAUGAAUACUCUGAAUUAACCAGACUGUUCUGCAGCCUUUCUUAGUUUUAUUUCUGAAG